CCGCUUAGACAAUGCCCCGGAGCCGCCAGACCGUCGCGCCCCCGCCCCAUCGUAGUAUAUGAGCUCGCCUACCCAAGGACCCCCCUAAAAGCCAGAGCUCCCAGUCCCCGAGGCUUGAAGACGGGGACUCCCUUCUCCACCAACUCUGUCCUCGGGGGGUGGGGCCCCAGCCGAGAUCACAGCGCGACAGGAGUGGGGGUGGCCGCUGGAGGUCGAUGGAGUCCGCAAAGCCCUGCAAGACCUGGGGCUCCGAAUUGUGGAAAUAGGAGACGAGAACGCGACGCUGGAUGGCACUGACGUUCUCUUCACCGGACUUCGCCGUCUCCACUGUGCCAGUCUCGGGUCCCUCCCACCUGCGCGGUCUCUGCGGCAUGGGGGGACCUCGCACUGUUGUGGCAGGCAGCAGCGACGCUGCCCAAAAGGCUGUCCGGGCAAUGGCAGUGCUGACAGAUCACCCAUAUGCCUCCCUGACCCUCCCAGAUGACGCAGCUGCUGACUGUCUCUUUCUUCGUCCUGGGUUGCCUGGUGUGCCCCCUUUCCUCCUGCACCGUGGAGGUGGGGAUCUGCCCAACAGCCAGGAGGCACUGCAGAAGCUCUCUGAUGUCACCUUGGUACCUGUGUCCUGCUCAGAACUGGAGAAGGCUGGCGCCGGGCUCAGCUCCCUCUGCUUGGUGCUCAGCACACGCCCCCACAGCUGAGGGCCUGGCCUUGGGGUACUGCUGGCCAGCGGUAGGAUAGUAUAGGGAGUAGAAGGGGAAGGAGGGUUAGAUAGAGAAUGCUGAGUAGGCAGUAGUUGGGAGAGAGCCUCAAUAUGGGGGGAGGGGAGAGUGUAGGGAAAAGGAUAGGGUCCACUGGGUGAGUCCUGCCUCUCAGAACCAAUAAAAUCGAAUUGACCUUUUAGA
rnacentral:sRNA from 1 species